rnacentral:tRNA from 1 species
GCCUUCGUGGUGUAAUGGUCAGCAGGACUGAGCCGGUAUUUCAGAGGUCCGUGGUUCGAUCCCCGGCGAAGGCA